AACGCUGCUAGCAUACAACUUUUAGUGGCAUUUGUGUCGGAAAAGGCCACCAUAUGCACCCUUUGGUGGUGGUUAAAGCAAUAAACGCCGCUAAGUUAACCCUAAAUUCCAUCGAGCCCCUUUUCUAUUUACCCAGAAACAUUCAGUGUAAGUAUUUUUUUCACAAACAGUACCUCCUUCAUCGAGCCCUUUUCUCCAUUCUAUUUCAUUCUUUGUUUGUGAGUUUGCCAUUUAGUUUCCUUCUCCGGUGGUAGCACUUCGGUUAGGUUUCUUUCUCUGCUGGUAGCUCUUCAAUUGGGUUUCUUUCUCCUUUCGGUCUCCUUUUUGGCCAAUGGAAUUCCUUUUUCUCUUGUUUUACUCUUUUUCUCUCUUUUCUUUCAUCCUGUCCUCUUCUCAUGUCGACGAACGAGCUUUCCUUGUUUUUCUUUUCUGCUGGGUUCCUUACAAAUUUUAAAGAUUGUGGUUUUUAAUUUUGUGUAUGUAUUUUGCUAUUUUUUUGGUAUAAUUUGCAAAAAAAAAAAAAUGAAAUGACUUACUUGAUUUGGGAUUCUUGAUUGGCGACAGGGAGGGUAUGGUUGUGGGUGUUGGUGGUGGUUGUUGUUCAUGGCACCAUCACAAGUUCCUUCUCCUUGCCCUUUCAUCUCUUUUUUGCCAACAUUAGGGUUUAGCUAAACCCUAACCCUCCGUUUAGUGAAUUUGUCCGAGCUUAAGACUAUUUGUAAAAAUUUCUUGUCAAUGUGCCAUAGGAAUUAAGGGUUUAUUGUUUUCUCAGUUUUCUUUCCUAAAAUAGGUAAUGCCAACUAUAAUCAUUCUCAUCUCAAUUAUGUAUUUUGUAGCUGGCCUUUUGGUUAAAUUACUACUUUAAAAUUGGGGAAUGGAUUUACGUGUUCACACGUGAUAUCACUUGUAUGCUGUUGACUUAGUAUGCUAGUAUUGGACUGGUAUUGGACUUGCUGUUGACUAUGAAACAUUUUUGAAAGGCAACUUGCAUUUUGAUAAAUUAUUCUGUUUAGAGAUGGAUUUGGACAUAUGAUGCCUUAUAUUUAACUUAGUUAUCAAUACUUGAUGAAAUUGGGUUUGUGGACUUUUUUCAUGUGAUUAUCCAAUUAUUGCGCGCACCAUUCUUUUCACCUUUUUGUUGUUAUUGGAUUACUUAAAAGAACAUUGUAAUUUUCUACUUUCUAGCUUGCUGAAUGGUGGAAGGGUUAUAUGACAUCGAGAAAUUUUUUUUGGCUAUCUAAACCUUAUCUGUUAGUACCUCGUUGAAAUAUUGAUUUGUUGGUUUCAUGAAUAAUUGAUUAGCUUCUUAAAGCUUAUAACCUUAUAUAAAGAAUCUUCUUUUGGUAUUCUAUUGUAAGAAUACUAUAAUUACUAUUCUUAAUGUUAAUGAUGUUACAAACUUUGAACUUAUUUCCUAAACAAUAAUUUCUAGGAGCAUACACUUUGAUACAAGCGCACAUAAACAUGUGUGCAUCUUUUAUGUUGAAGUUAAGAUCCCCUAUUAUUACACAUGUAGCAGUAAUAGAUUCAGUUGUCUACAUUGUUGGAUUUCUUGGUUACUAAUGUGCUGCUAUGUCUCGCAUUCUUUAUAAUUUCAUAUUUCUAUAAUCUAAUAUUUUUUCUUUAUGUCUCUAACUUGGACAGCAUCUAUUUUGACCAUGAGUUUUAUAGUUUAAAGAUGGCUAAAUAAACUUCAGUGAUUUCUUGAUUGAACAUACUCAUGUUGGCAUGCAACUUGUCUGGUUGAUUGAUUUACAAUGUUUGUUUUAGGUGUGGAUGUCAGUAUGAACACCCAUCUGAAAAUAGUGAAACUUACAUUAAAGGAGAAAAACCCAGUGACUUUGGAUCACCUUAGUGUAAGGGGUAACAAUAUUUGCUACUCUAUCCUGCCUGACAUCUUAAAUAUUGAGACAUUGCUGGUUGAAGAAACAUCAAGGGUGAAACCCAAGAAGCCAAUAGCUGUUGUGGAUUGUGGAGAAGGUGUUUGUUAGGGUUGCUUAAGAAUUAUACUUCAGGCAAGCCAUAUUGAUUAGCGUCCUUGCCUGUUUCAAUCAAAAGUUGAAAAGAUUCGGAUGGUCUUGAGUCUUCUCAAUGAAAGAUGUUUUAGUUGACGCAUAAGUGAAAAGAUGGAAGCAUGAUUUCUCUAGCUGCAUGACAAGUUGUGGUUAUUUAUUUUUUAUAUUUGCUAGGUUAUUGAUUAUGCACAAAUCCAAGAGUUUUAAUUGCAUUGAAUAUUAUUUUGAAUUUAAAAAAAUACCACAUCAUCUAUAUCUUUGUAGCUCUUAUAUAUAUUUUUUUCUCUUUUAUAGGAUGAGUCUGACACUUUGUCUAGAAGUGAAUUAGAAUGUUCUAACCUAAUAGAUAAGGAUGAAAUUAACCAUCAAGUGGUAGGAAAGGAGAGGCAUGGUCGUCUUCGUGGGUAUGGAUUAGGCCCCACUCCUACUUCUGUUUAUGGUGUAAAUCCAAGUUGUUUAGGUCUUUUGUGUAAACUAACAAAAGCAACCAGACUCAAUGAAAAAAUGCAAGGAAAGGUAGAAAAGUUGGAAAAAAAAAAAUGAAACUAGAAGAAAAAUGGAGGACAGUAAAAGAAUGGAGGAAGAAAGAAAUAGGGUGGAGGAAGAUAGAAAGAAGAUGGACAUGAUGCUUGCUUUUGUAGAGGAUGUGAGAAAUGGAAGAGUGCUAGUUAGGCCUCAAAAUUAGAGUUUGGCAAGAGGUCCCUGUUCUUGUUAUUGUCAGCAUGCUUGGAUAUUUUUGUUUUCUUGAGCAGCUUCUGGUUGGAAAAAUGGGUACUAGAGCAAUUGCUAUAUCUCUUCCAUUUUCUUGUGUGUUAGGCCUCCUUGCAUCCAUGACUUCAUCAAUGAUGGUGAAGUGAAGAUUUGUCUGGGUUUACGCAUCAAUUCAAUUUGCCUUGGUGGUUUUCUUUGCUCAUAUAUUUUAUUCAUUGGAUUUCAUACAGGAAAGCACUGCAGGCAAGUGAACCUUACUAGAAUAUUGCUUAAUGCCUAACAAUGGCUUCAAAUGAGUUGAGAAGCGGUGAUAAAGGGAAAUGAUAUGAGGGAGGGAUUCCUAUUGGUUUUGACUCUGCAUUGCUUGUUGUCUUGCUAAUCUAUGUAAGUUUUUUGGAUAAAAAACUAGAGUACUUAAAAAGAAUUGAUAUGUCUUAGAGAUAUUUUGUAUGUUGUUUCGAAU